UGUGAAGUGUGUGAAGUUUCCAAAAUGUGCAGCUGUGUUUUGUGGAGAGGCCAGCAGAUGGCACAGGAAUUCAUACGAGAGAAUUUCCGACUGUCUAGAAGAUGCAUCCUCCUCAUCAGAGGGCACAGUGCAGUGCUUGCAUGGCUCUCUGUCUUGUCUGCAGCCAAAAGCAAGCUGAAGAAGAGGAAUAUCUCCAACAUCUCCCUAUGCCCAAUCUGUGGAUGUUGUCUGCACAAGGCUUUUGGUGAUGGAGGGAAAACCAAGGAGCCUKUAGAGAAUGUAUGAAGUUCGUCAGCACAGCCAUACUGAUUUGUUUCAGAGGAAACCUCUUCUUUCACAGAGAAGAUAGAAGAAUACCAGCAUGGCACACAUACUUUGGUAAGUCACAAAGUAGAUCUAAAUACCUAGAAACCAUGUC
rnacentral:lncRNA from 1 species